GCAGUCAUCCUGCGACCUCCAGAAUCCACCGGGGUGCAGCGAGGCUGUGGAAAGUCCCACCCAGAACGUGAGGUGAAGAAGGCUUGGGCUGCGCUGGUUCUGCUCUGUCCGGGUCGGAGAUGAACUGACCCGGGAGAGCAGCGGAGGGAUGUUUCUUUUGGCCAACAGUGGGGACUCACCUGCACGUUUUGCGAAGAGGCCCACAGUCCUUUGCGUGGCGCUCGGACUACAUUUCCCAACGGCCCCUGCACGCCCUGGGGGCUGUUCCAUGCGGUGUUGCGCCUGCGUAGCCGGCGGGCUGGCAGUGAGACUGACUGCGUCGGGGUUGAGACUGGGUGGAUGAGGCUCACCCCGGCGGGGAGAAGGGACGAGGAGGGGCGGACAGCGGAAGGUCCGGGAGUGUCCGCCAUAAAGUCGUUUGAGGUGACCGUUGCGUAAUUGUGAGUCUGUGAGAGAAGAUGUGAAGUAUGGCCUCGUCCCGGUCAUCUGGGCGUGCGGGUCCCGGGUUUUGAUCGCGCGUUUGUGUAGUUUUAACUUCUAGUCAUGGCGAAUGAUCGCAGGAGAGCACAGACUGGACCCUGCUACGAUCUCUCUUGGAGUGGAUCAGACUGAUGAUCACCAACAACCAACUCAUUCCCGGAUAAGGAAGAAGAGAGUGUCACCUACUUCAGUGUGGUUUCAACCCUACUUCUGCAUCUUAAAGACACUGUAUGGUUUCAGCAGUAGUGCCCCUGUUCAUUAGUCCCCCUGAUGUUUUCAUUCCUCAUCUCAUCUUUUUCUUAGCAGCAUUCAAUGAAUCCUUCAUUCUAGAAACACUCUAUAUCUUUGGUUUUCAUGAGACCAUUCUCACCUUGUUUUGUCCUGUGACUUUUUUGAAAAAAACAAAAACAAAAAACCCUUUUUUUCUUUUUAAAUUCUGGUAAAAAACACAAUGAAAAUUUGCUAUCUUAACCAUGUUGAAAUGUGCAGUUAGUAAAGUACAUUCACAUUGUGGUGCAAGCCAUCACUACCAUCCAUCACUAGAACCCUUUUCAUCUUGCAGAUCUGAAACUCUACCCAUUAAACGACUUCCCAUCUUCCCAUCCCCACAGCUCCUAGCAACCAACAUUCUACUUUCUCUAUCAGUUUGACUACUCUAGGUACCUCAUAUGAGUAGAAUCAUACAGCAUUUAUCCUUCUCUGCCUGGCUUAUUUCACUUGUAUAAUGUCCUCAAGGUUCAUUCAUGUUGUAGCAUGCAUCAGAACUUCCUCCCCUUUUAAAGGCUGGAUAAUAUUUCAUGGUAUGUUUAGAUCACAUUCUGUUUAUCCAUUCAUCCAUCAGUGAACACUUGUGCUCCUUCCAACUUUGGGCUGUUGGGUGUCCUGCCACUGUUGCUCCUAGUGCUCAAUCUCGUUUAUUCCCUCCUAAUCAAGUGUACAACGUUGGACACUGUGCAGGAUGAUGCCACUUCAUCUUGGAUGCUAAUCUGCCAUGUUGACUUCUGAUUAACCCCAGGCCCAGGAAUGCCUCAAGAUUUCUACUUUACUUACUGUUGCUUGUGUAAGCCAAGACAACCUUGAUGUUAUCAUAAACAUGUACUUACCUAAGUCCUGUCCUUUGGCAAAUUAUGGGCUAUGAGACACAGCAUUCUUGCCUUUCCCUGAGGGGUCAAUUUCAGCGAUCCUACACAUUCCUUCUGAAGCACUUAUGCUCUUUCUAUAUGGUAUGUAAGCUCUCGGUCUGGGGAGUAACAGUGCAGAGAUCUACCUGUCUUGUUGCCACAUGUUUCUAAACUUUCCAAUAAAUCACCUUCUACUGAC
rnacentral:lncRNA from 10 species